rnacentral:tRNA from 1 species
GGGGCAUUGGCACAGUUGGUAGUGCGCCUCGUUCGCAUCGAGGAGGUCAGCGGUUCGACUCCGCUAUGCUCCACCA